UUAGAUUGGGGACAACAGUUGGAAACGACUGCUAAUACCGAAUGUGCCUUAGGGUGAAAGAUUUAUUGUCUAGAGAUUGGCUCGCGUCAGAUUAGCUAGUUGGAGUGGUAACGGCACACCAAGGCGACGAUCUGUACUUGGUCUGAGAGGAUGACCAGGCACACUGGAACUGAGACACGGUCCAGACUCCUACGGGAGGCAGCAGUGGGGAAUUUUCCGCAAUGGGCGAAAGCCUGACGGAGCAAUACCGCGUGAGGGAGGACGGCUUUUGGGUUGUAAACCUCUUUUAUCAGGGAAGAAUCGAUGACGGUACCUGAUGAAUCAGCAUCGGCUAACUCCGUGCCAGCAGCCGCGGUAAUACGGAGGAUGCAAGCGUUAUCCGGAAUUAUUGGGCGUAAAGCGUCCGUAGGUGGUUUAUCAAGUCUGCUGUCAAAGCGUGCGGCUUAACCGCAUAAGGGCAGUGGAAACUGAUGAACUAGAGUGCGAUAGGGGUAACAGGAAUUCCCAGUGUAGCGGUGAAAUGCGUAGAUAUUGGGAAGAACACCAGCGGCGAAAGCGUGUUACUGGGUCUGCACUGACACUGAGGGACGAAAGCU
rnacentral:rRNA from 1 species